rnacentral:rRNA from 1 species
CUACGGGAUGCAGCAGUGGGGAAUAUUGCACAAUGGGCGCAAGCCUGAUGCAGCCAUGCCGCGUGUAUAAAGAAGGCCUUCGGGUUGUAAAGUACUUUCAGCGGGGAGGAAGGGAGUAAAGUUAAUACCUUUGCUCAUUGACGUUACCCGCAGAAGAAGCACCGGCUAACUCCGUGCCAGCAGCCGCGGUAAUACGGAGGGUGCAAGCGUUAAUCGGAAUUACUGGGCGUAAAGCGCACGCAGGCGGUUUGUUAAGUCAGAUGUGAGAUCCCCGGGCUCAACCUGGGAACUGCAUCUGAUACUGGCAAGCUUGAGUCUCGUAGAGGGGGGUAGAAUUCCAGGUGUAGCGGUGAAAUGCGUAGAGAUCUGGAGGAAUACCGGUGGCGAAGGCGCCCCCCUGGACGAAGACUGACGCUCAGGUGCGAAAGCGUGGGGAGCAAACAGGAUUAGAUACCCGAGUAGUC